rnacentral:rRNA from 1 species
UACGGGGGGGGCAAGCGUUGUUCGGAAUUACUGGGCGUAAAGGGUUCGUAGGUGGCUUGCUAAGUCAGACGUGAAAUCCCUCAGCUUAACUGGGGAACUGCGUCUGAUACUGGAAGGCUUGAGGAUGGGAGAGGGAUGUAGAAUUCCAGGUGUAGCGGUGAAAUGCGUAGAUAUCUGGAGGAAUACCGGUGGCGAAGGCGGCAUCCUGGACCAUUACUGACGCUGAGGCGCGAAAGCUAGGGGAGCAAACGGGG